CCCCGCCCCCACACCUUAGGAAGGGAGCGGGAUACCCGUCCCCACCAGACUUCAGCAAGGACCGGCUUCGCUUCAACUGCUGCUGGCGACUAGCGUCCCCUUUGAUCUCUCACCUUCCGUAGCCCGGUCACUUCCUGCCUCUCCCAGCCAAUAGAAGCUCAAAGCGCGGGGCUUGCUGGGAAUUGGAGUCUUGUGAUGACCUAUGAGGUCUCAUGAGGAUCACAUUUUACAUCAUCAAGGAAGAGCCACCAGCAGACAGCAUGUUUAGAGAGGAGCCACCUGUUAGUGACUUCCCCAGAGCAAGGUGGCAGGGAUCCUAAAACAGAACAUCUCCUGGAUUUCUGUUCCUCUUGGAAGGUGGUAUCCCCCAACUAUCUCACCUGGCAAGCUGCCUCUGAUGUGUUGGCUGUGAUUAUGAAAUGGAGGAUUUGGGGAGGUACUGUACAAAAGAUGGAAAAACAAAGCAUAGAAAAUAAUUCAGCACACAUAGCCUUUCCCCACGGAACUGCUUAGGAAUAGCUAGCGAUGGACUGGAGCUGAAACACACUGGGGAAGCUUGGAUGCAGAUUCUCCAGUAUUAUAACUGUGUUGCAUUCAUCAGUUCCUGCAAUACCAAGACAGGCCAUACAGGAGGCAAAGAUCCAAUACUUCAGGCUUAUAUAGUAAUUAAUGAAAGCGUGCACAGCCAAGAGAAGAAAGGGCUGUGGUGGCAAUUGCAACAACUGUACUUCAGAUACAUUCAGAGCUAGAUAGUCCACAGGCUUAACAAAGCAGCAGCAGAAGCAGCAUGUUUGACAGCAGGCACAGAAGUGUGUGAUAUGUCCAUGCAAUCAGCCACCCAGGCCCAGCAGAAACGGCCUGACAUCUUCAAGGGGCUGUAAGGAAAAACAACCAGAAAGAGAAGAGAAAUUACUCAAGAUAAGUCACUUCUCUGCAGCCACUUGAAUGUUGUUAAGAAAAGACACAGGAAUACUCAAGAUCAAAAGAACUAUAGCAGUUUAAAAAGAGAUUUUUUCUCCAGACAGAGGGGCAGUUGUAUGGGGGAGUUAAUCGGAGGAAGCAGACUGAGAGGCAGGUACCCAUUGGGAUAUCUGAAGAAAUUAGGCCUACCUGCUUGCUAUCAGAGGCUGAUAUGCCUUUAGAUACAAUAGACACA